UCCGACAAAGCUCCGACACUUUCAUGACAGCGCUCUAUUGACUGUGUCUCAGAUUUUCGUACAUUUAACACUGUCGUUUGUGGACUAUAAGAAAGAUAUGGUUAAACGCUGUGCCUGGGGCACUUGUAAGACUGAUAGUCGUUACCCAGAGAGGUUGGAGGGGGGUGUGCAUUUCUUCCCCUUACCCAAACCAAAAUCAAAGCCUGACAAGUGUCUCCUGUGGAUUAAACUUUUUGGACGUCCUCACUCUCAGCUGAACCCCUCAAGGAUCGACCGGCACACUUUUGUGUGUUCUAAGCACUUUGUCAAUGGGGACCCAAGUCUCGACUACCCAAAUCCAGUUUCUGCUGUUCCAUCUGGUAGAGAAAGUCCAGUCAAAUGUCGAAGACCUCCAACUAAAAGUGGACCAGGUUCACACAGAGGACCAAGAUCGCACAGAGGACCAAGAUGAAGUGAAAAGACUUAAGGGGCAACUCGCUGAAAAGGAAAAAGAAAAUGCCUUACUGAGGGAAAAGACACAAAGUUAUCAAGCACCUUAUCCACUCACCCACACCACACCCACACCCACUCACACCAGAGACUUUAUGUAACUGUAAUGUGUCUGAGUACUUUCAGUAUUGCACAGGCUUUGGUUAUGAUGAGUUUAAUAAGCUGUGUGCUUUUUUCAGGUUACCCAGUACUGCAAAGGAUCCACAAACACUUAUCCCUGUGACAUAUCACAAAGUAGAUCAUCAGGUCAACCUCAUGUCUUUACGACAACAGUUCCUACUCACACUGAGGAAGCUGAGGCAAAACUUUGAUCUGACAGAGCUUGCCUUCAAAUUUCAAAUUGCAGUUAUCACACUAUUCAAUUCAUGGAUUGAUUUCAUGUAUGGUAAGCUAGGCAACUUGUCUAUUUGGCCACACAGGGACAGCAUAACAGAAAACAUGCCUACCAACUACAGAGCAGAGUUCCUAACAACUUUUGCCAUUUUUGAUUGUACAGAGAUUAAGACAGAAAAGCCAACAUCACUGUUACUUCAAAGUCAAACUUACUCCAAAUACAAAUCUACCAAUACGCUUAAGUGUCUGAUUGCCUGUGAUCCACGUGGCUCCAUUAUCUGUGUAUCAACACUUUUCACUGGAUCAAUCUCUGACCAAGAAAUAUUUAGAAAAUGUGGAGUCAAGGAUUCACUGAAAGGUCUGCUUCAGUGUGGCUACCUUAAGGCAGGCAAUGGGCUCAUGGUUGAUAAAGGAUUUCUUAUUGAGAAGGAUGUGAAUGAGCUAGGCCUUAAUUUGAACAUUCCUCCCUUUGCCAAAUCAAAUAGUCAAAUGCCAGCUUCAGAUGUUGAGAUGACAAACAAAAUAGCCAAACACUGGGUACAUGUGGAAAGAGCCAUCGCCAAUCUGUGCAGCAGUAGCUCAGUCAGUCCAGCAGUGCCUCAGUCAGUAGGGGCUUGGACUGGGAAUCGUGGGGUCGCUGGUUCAAGUCCCCGAACAGACUUGAAAUAUGGAAAGUGGACUGCUACUUGGAGAGGUCCCAGUUCACUUCAUAGGCCCUGCUGUGGUGCCCUUGAGCAAGGCAUGUAUGUGACAAAUAAAGAGGGUUUCAUCCUCCGAUUCUAUCUAUCAAAGUGAAGAAAUGUAAAAUAGUUUCUGGAAGAUCCCUAAUGUCAGGUUUGGAAACAUAAAUCAGAUAUAGUUCCAGCCAAAACUUAUAAAGGCUUAGGCUCUAUCUAGCACUAUGAUCAUUAUGUCUCUACACAGUGAGACACUAAGAUAAGCUACUGAAUUUUAAUGUUUGUAUUUAUCUUUGUGGUUAAUAAACCAAUAAGCUACCAUGAAUGAACUGUAUGUAUUUGACUGUAAUA